CCUACGGGAGGCAGCAGUGGGGAAUAUUGGGCAAUGGGCGCAAGCCUGACCCAGCAACGCCGCGUGAAGGAAGAAGGCUUUCGGGUUGUAAACUUCUUUUAAGAGGGAAGAGCAGAAGACGGUACCUCUUGAAUAAGCCACGGCUAACUACGUGCCAGCAGACGCGGUAAUACGGAGGUGGCAAGCGUUGUCCGGAUUUACUGGGUGUAAAGGGCGUGCAGCCGGGAAGACAAGUCAGAUGUGAAAGCCCGCGGCUCAACCGCGGAACUGCAUUUGAAACUGUUUUUCUUGAGUACCGGAGAGGUCAUCGGAAUUCCUUGGGUAGCGGUGAAAUGCGUAGAUAUAAGGAAGAACACCAGUGGCGAAGGCGGAUGACUGGACGGCAACUGACGGUGAGGCGCGAAAGCGUGGGGAGCAAACAGGAUUAGAUACCCUUGUAGUC
rnacentral:rRNA from 1 species